rnacentral:rRNA from 1 species
UGGGGAAUUUUGGACAAUGGGGGAAACCCUGAUCCAGCCAUCCCGCGUGUGCGAUGAAGGCCUUCGGGUUGUAAAGCACUUUUGGCAGGAAAGAAACGUCGCGGGUUAAUACCCCGCGGAACUGACGGUACCUGCAGAAUAAGCACCGGCUAACUACGUGCCAGCAGCCGCGGUAAUACGUAGGGUGCAAGCGUUAAUCGGAAUUACUGGGCGUAAAGCGUGCGCAGGCGGUUCGGAAAGAAAGAUGUGAAAUCCCAGAGCUUAACUUUGGAACUGCAUUUUUAACUACCGGGCUAGAGUGUGUCAGAGGGAGGUGGAAUUCCGCGUGUAGCAGUGAAAUCGUAGAUAUGCGGAGGAACACCGAUGGCGAAGGCAGCCUCCUGGGAUAACACUGACGCUCAUGCACGAAAGGUGGGGAGCAAACAGGAUUAGAUACCCUGGUAGUCCACGCCCUAAACGAUGUCAACUAGCUGUUGGGGUCUUCGGACCUUGGUAGCGCAGCUAACGCGNGAAGUUGACCGCCUGGGGAGUACGGUCGCAAGAUU